GCCUAUCAAACGAAUUUAUUAUAAUAAUAUUGAAAAUUUGAAGGAUAAAAAAACAAAAAAUAGGAAUAGAUGAUAGUAAUGUAGCCACCGACGGACCAAUUAGCGCAAGGGGAGCCCCCUAAACUUACCCACAAAAAAUGAGCCCUCUAAUUAUCUAAAUUCAAAUUAUCUUCUUAUAACAAGUGAACAAAAACAGAAAUAGUACCAUGUGCAGGCAGGCUCAUCCAUUUGGGAUCAUCACAGAUUUUCGUCUGCACUUGUUUAUUGUUUGAACUGCAGGCCGUAGUUUUUAGCUGAUCUGACGACGAUAGCUUCCCGGAGACCAACGGUUAAGCUAGGAGUUGGUAAGAGAGAGAAAUAAAAUAAGAGAAGAGGUGUAAAGUAAGUGCACAGAAGGAGCAUCUUUUAAUAAUUAUUAAAA
rnacentral:lncRNA from 1 species